rnacentral:tRNA from 1 species
GCCUUUGUGGUGUAAUGGUAGCACACUCAACGCUUAUUCGAGAUGCCCGGGGCUCAAAUCCCGUCGAGGGCU